GGGCGCUGUUGUACUUUGUAUCUGCAUACCUUUAUAUUAUUUCUGCUUUUCAAUUUAAGUUCAUAUAAGGUGCCAUCAGCUAUUUCAGCAUUUUACCUCCCUGACAUCAUCAUGAAAUAAAUUAAUAGUAAGAGAAAAUAAAGUAAUGAAACCAUUUCUAUAAACAUUUCUCCAUUUGCUGUAUUUCAUAAUGCCUUUAUUCCUGAGAAAAUUACUUGUUCAGUUCUCUCCAUGAGUAUGUCGUCAUGAUGCAAAUGUGUGUCGAAGUAGUAUUUAUGUGCAGCCGAGCUGAGCGGAGCAGUCGAUUCUCAUCAAUGCUCACCAUGAAGAUCCCACUCUCCUUAUUCGUGCUCCUAAUCAGCCUGUGUGUCCACUGUGUGAAAAGCCAGAGUUUGGAGUCUAUUCCUAGUCACGCAGUACUGAGUAAGCCUGGUGGAACUGUCAGCCUCUCUUGUAAGGCUAUAGGAUAUAAUUUUGGAGAUUAUGGCAUGAGCUGGAUACGACAGCCUCGUGGAAAGCCCUUACAGUGGAUUGGGCACAUCAAUACUGCAAGUGGAGAAACAUUCUACAGUAAAAGUCUUGAAGGAAGAAUUGAAAUAACAAAGGAUAACAGUAAAGGCAUUUCAUACUUCAAGUUGUCUGGCCUGACUGUAGAAGACACAGCUGUGUAUCACUGUGCCCGAAAACACAGUGACACAAACAGAUGACAAGGAUGUACAAAAAGUUCAGUUCCUGAAUUUGAUAUACGUCUGUCUUCCUGAAUACAGUGGGCAGACAAUGUCAAAAUAUAACCUCGAAAUAUUAUAGUGUAAAGGCAGGGA